rnacentral:rRNA from 1 species
AGAGCGAACGCUGGCGGCAGGCCUAACACAUGCAAGUCGAACGCCCAGCAAUGGGAGUGGCAGACGGGAUAGUAACACGUGGGAACGCGCCCUUCGGUUCGGAAUAACUCAGGGAAACUUGAGCUAAUACCGGAUACGCCCUUACGGGGAAAGAUUUAUUGCCGAAGGAACGGCCCGCGUCGGAUUAGCUAGUUGGUGAGGUAAUGGCUCACCAAGGCGACGAUCCGUAGCUGGUCUGAGAGGAUGACCAGCAUCACGUGGGACUGAGACACGGCCAGACCUCCGUAGGGAGCAGCAGGUGGGAAUUAGUGGACAAGUGGGCGACGAAGCCGUGACUCCAGCCAGUCGCCGU